rnacentral:rRNA from 1 species
AUUGAACGCUGGCGGAAUGCUUUACACAUGCAAGUCGAACGGCAGCACGGGAGCUUGCUCCUGGUGGCGAGUGGCGAACGGGUGAGUAAUAUAUCGGAACGUAUCCAAUAAUGGGGGAUAACUAGUCGAAAGAUUAGCUAAUACCGCAUACGCCCUGAGGGGGAAAGCUGGGGAUCUUCGGACCUGGCGUUAAUGGAGCGGCCGAUAUCUGAUUAGCUGGUAGGUGAGGUAAAAGCUCACCUAGGCGAAGAUCAGUAGCUGGUCUGAGAGGACGACAAGCCAGACUGGAACUGAGACACGGUCCAGACACCUACGGGAGGCAGCAGUGGGGAAUUUUGGACAAUGGGCGCAAGACUGAUCCAGCCAUUCCGCGUGAGUGAAGAAGGCCUUCGGGUUGUAAAGCUCUUUCGCAAGUGAAGAAAACUUAUCCUCUAACAUAGGAUGAGGUUGACGGUACCUUGAUAAGAAGCACCGGCUAACUACGUGCCAGCCGCCGCCGUAA